rnacentral:lncRNA from 1 species
ACUUCGGCCACAACCAAUAUUUGGCUUAAGAAAAUUGUUAAUUUGGCUCAAGAACAAAGGCCACCUAUUUUUUCGGUCAAGACUGAAAGUUUGGUAGGCUUAGAAGAAAAAGUUCAAGUUCUUGAGCCAAAUACAAAAAUUGACUCAGAAUAUGAUUCGUCAGAGGAAUGUUCCAAUGACGAACAGGGCCGAGACAUAGGCCUAGCCGAAAAAAUCACGCUAAUUGAUAUGAUUAUUGGUGAUAAAGCCGAUGGAGAAAUCUCGUUCGGCUAUGUUAUUUAAGCUGCAAGUCAAAAUUGACAAAAUUAUUAUGCCUGGGAGGCAUAAUAAUUGUUCAACACAUUCGGCGGCCGAUAAAAAAUCUUUCAUCAAGCCAAACAUAUUUGGAGAUAUUAUUUUAUUCGGCCUUGCAAAAAUUCAAAGUGAAAGUUUUGAUACAAAAAGACUUCGGCUUGGAAUAAAACAUCGUUGGCCUCCUCCACUUUAUAGUACGGCCACUUUUGUUUUCUUCUGUUUUUAAAAAUAAAAAAAUUAAUUAAUUAAUUAAAUUAAAUAAAUUAUUUUCUUAAUCAUCUGGCUAAUUAAGCCGAUGCAUAAGAAAAUAGGGGGGCAAAUAAUAUAUCUCUUUAUUCCAAGUUUUAAUAGCCGAGAUAAUGAAGUUGUUAUUUGAUGAAAUCAUGCAUGCUGGAAACGAUGAUUGCAAUUGGAAAAAGGGUGCCAUGGUGAAGGCCGAGACGUGUUUAAAAUGGUGACUAUGUAACUAACACUCGGCCCAAGGAAUUUUACAUGGCACCGAGGUAUUUGAACAAGACUCUGCACUGGCGUCCUACCCAUGGCAUGGGUGUGCUUGCUAUGAUACUAUUGAGGAUGCCCACCAAGCUUGGCGAUCAAGUUUCACCAAAUGAAGUGGAGUGGUCUAAAAGGUUUCUAAUUGUCGACGUAUUUAUGUUAUUCUUCUCACCGAGCUCGGCAAGUCCGUCAAAUCUAUGCCGAGUCGUGUAUUGAAAAGGUUUUGCUGUUCGAUGAUGUUCUUCGGUGGUAGAGUUGCUUUCAUAUUACCGACGCAUAGGCCAAGCUACCCAGUAUAUGUUGUUGAGCUUGGCCGCAUUGUACGUUGGGUUCGGUAGUAUCCAAAGGUUUUUUUGAUGACCGAACAAAGCAGAGUGGUUUUAAUAUUUCCAUGGGGUGAAUGGCAUUCGAAAGGUUGGCGGCAAAGCAAAAAAAAAAAAAAAAAAAAAAAAAUUAGUCGAGAAGGAGUUGGUCGAAAAGGAGUAGAGUUUUUGGCCGAAUAUAAAAUAUAUAUAUAUAUAAAUGAGAAUCAGCCAAAAUGGCCAAAUGAAAGAAGUGUGGCAGUCGGCUUAGAUGUUUCUUGGUUUCGGUCUCGGCCUCGACCAUUCUAC